CCCUUAGAUGUUCUGGGCCGCACGCGCGCUACACUGAUGCAUUCAACGAGCCUAUCCUUGACCGACAGGUCCGGGUAAUCUUUGAAUCUGCAUCGUGACGGGGAUAGAUUAUUGCAAUUAUUAAUCUUCAACGAGGAAUGCCUAGUAGGCGCAAGUCAUCAGCUUGCGUCGAUUACGUCCCUGCCCUUUGUACACACCGCCCGUCGCUCCUACCGAUCGAAGAGUUAGGUGAAUUGUUUUGAUCGAUAAGAUUUGACUAUGGUCAACUCUCGUUGGGAAAUUCUGUGAAUCUGACUGUUUAGAGGAAGGAAAAGUCGUAACA
rnacentral:rRNA from 1 species